rnacentral:sRNA from 1 species
UUCUAGCCCUCGAUUACAGUGGUAUCCUUUUUUGUUAUUGCGAUUGCGAAUUAUUUCGAUGGAUUGCAGCGUUUUGUUCGCAAUAACAAAAAAGAUAUAACGGAAAGCGGGUACAAUC